AUAUAUAUGGAAUGGUUUCAAUGAGAUCCCUCAUAUAUGGUGAGAUCUUAGAAUAAUUUGUAGGUAUUGAUUUAAUGUAUCUAAUGGCUAAUAUUUAUCUGAAGUGAACGAAAUUUUACUUGAGUUUGAAUUCUAGAAAAAGCGAAAAUUUUACCAAUUUUUUGAAUAUUAUUAUUCAACACUAUAUAUAUUGGUUUAUUCAUUAUUCUCACGUCUCCCUAUAUAAGUGAUACAAUAUCUAUAUGUACAUAUGUUAUAUUUUUGUAUAAAUU
rnacentral:lncRNA from 1 species